rnacentral:RNase_P_RNA from 1 species
UGAAAUGGUCGGGCGGUCGCCCGGUAACAACCGGGAGGAAAGUCCGAACACCGCAGGGCGCGGUGGUGGGUAACACCCACCCGUUUAUGUCAGUAAUAGCGUAAACGCGGGAAAGUGCCACAGAAAACAAACCGCCGAAUUUCGAUAUUGUCGGAAUGGCAAGGGUGAAAAGGUGCGGCAAGAGCGCACCGCGGACAUGGCGACAUGACCGGCACGGCAAACCCCACCGGGUGCAAAACCAAAUAGGGAACCGCAGCGCCGGCCCGGCGCGUAUUAUUCCGGCACACUAGCCCCCGUCAUGGGAGGUCGGAAUAAAUAGAAUCAUGGACGGCGAAGUUCUUUUCGGAGAAUCAGCCCAGAUGAGGCGAGUAGGUUCCGGGUAGGUUGCUUGAGGCAAACGGUAACGUUUGUCCCAGAUCAAUGACCGCCGUCUCAACAGAGACACAGAAUUCGGCUUAUAGACCAUUUCAGAAA